CCAGAGUUGGGAGGUACGCACUCACUCACUCGCACAUGCACACAUACACACGUGAAGACAGAAGUUGCGGUGCACUUUUGGAACAAGGGAGAAACGGAGGCGAUGCGUUGCUGGGUGUGGUUUCCUGCUGUGGGGCUGCUGGCCUGGAUGUGCUGCAGCCUGGAGCCCGUUGAAGGGGGGAAGGUGCUGGUUAUUCCCGUAGACGGGAGUCACUGGCUGAGCAUGAAGAUUCUAGUGAAGGAGCUCACCCACAGAGGACACGACGUGGUGGUUGUGGUGCCUGAGAGCAGCCUGCUGAUGAACGCCUCAGAGAGCUACAGGACCCAGCACUACAAAGUUCCCUACACCAAAGCUGAACUGGACGACAAAUUCACCGAGCUGAAGGAUAGCGUCUUCAUCAAGUCGCCAGAAAUUGCCAGAAUAGUUGCCGACGCGUUGCGUUUGAUCAACUUCACCGGGUUCCAGGUGAAAGGCUGCAGAGCUCUGCUCAACAACCAGCCUCUGAUGAGUCAGCUGAGGAAGGAAGGCUUCAAUGUGGUCCUGACAGAUCCUUUCCUCCCAUGUGGCUCCGUCCUGGCUCAUAUCUUCAACAUCCCAGUUGUUUAUUUUAUGCGUGGACUCCCUUGUGACUUGGAUGUGAAGGCAAACCAGUGUCCCGUCCCUAUGUCCUACGUUCCCAAAGCCUACUCCGGGAACACAGAUGUCAUGACGUUCCUGCAGAGGGUGAAAAACAACAUCAUGGGAAUGGCAGAGAACCUUUUGUGCCGGGUUGCGUAUGCACAAUUUGAUGUGCUGGUCAAUGACUAUGUGGAAAAAGAUAUGACCUACAAGGACCUUUUGAGCCACGCUGCUCUUUGGCUCAAUAGAGCCGACUUUGUGCUGCAAUGGCCCAAACCUUUGAUGCCCAACAUGGUUUUCAUUGGCGGUAUCAACUGCGCAAAAGCACGACCCCUGCCCGCAGAUUUGGAGGCGUUUGUGGAAGGUUCAGGUGAGGACGGCUUUAUCGUCUUUACCUUGGGCUCCAUGGUGUCCACCAUGCCAGAGGAGAUAGCGAAACACUUUUUUGAAGCCUUUGCGAAGAUUCCACAAAAGGUUUUGUGGCGAUACACUGGAGUUCAACCUCAGAAUGUGCCAAAGAAUGUUAAACUUAUGAAGUGGCUACCUCAGAAUGACCUCUUGGCCCACCCAAAAGCCAAAGCUUUCCUCACCCACGGAGGAACCCAUGGUGUCUAUGAAGGGGUCUGCAAUGCUGUACCCAUGCUGAUGUUUCCACUGUUCGGGGACCAAGGAGACAACGUUCACCGCUUGGUGGCACACGGUGUUGCGGAGAGCCUCGGCAUCCUUGAUGUGACAACAGACAAACUACUGGCUGCUCUGACUAAUAUUAUCAAUGAUGAAGGUUAUAAAGAGAGGAUGGUGAAGUUGUCUACCUUACACCUGGACCGCCCGGUCCAGCCUGUGGACCUGGCUGCUUUCUGGACGGAGUUUGUCAUGAGACACAAUGGAGCCGCACAUCUACGGAGGGCCAUUGAUAUGACCUCCAUGGACCGCCCCUUGCUGCAUCACAGUUAGAGCACCAAUUGAAACCCCCAUGAGAAAGUGCUUGGCGACCGAGGCAAGGACAAACUCACUCCUAUUCAGUGUGGAAAUGGCAACAAAGAAAAACCCUGUCAGCACUUUGGUGUUUACUAUAUCGGAGAGGAGCGUCCAGUUGAGGACAAGGUACUGAACACCCCACCUUCCCCACAGCGAAGGAGGGAUGACCCUCAAUUAACCAUGGUGAAGGAGGCGGCACUGGCGGGGGGCUACACUGGUUAGGACUUGAGUGAUGAGGGGGUUGACAUGGGGUUCACUAUCCAUAUUACCUCAAAUGAGCUGAUAAAUCUCGGUUCGAGUGCACUAUUCCACUUCCAGGGGGAGGUCCUGAGACGACAGCCACACUUUCUGACCCAGUUUAUAGUCCGGGGGCGCCAUCCGAUGGCUAUUGGCCAGUCUCUGAUUCCGUCUGGCUGUGAGGACGAAGGAGGCUUGGGUCUUGCGCCAGACCCGGUGAAAGCUGCGGAGGUGGGAGGCCAGUAAUGGCAAGGCGCAGCCAUUCUCCUGGAAGGGAAAUAUGAAAUACUUUUUUUUAGUACCGUUUUGACCUGAAAAUGUGUCAAUUUUUACAGCCUCUUGGUCUUUGUGGCAAAUGGCAAACAUUUGGUGACAUAUCAACUGAAGUGAGAUAAAGGAUGACAGUAAAAGUCCUAAAGAAAGAUUAUUUAUAAAAGUUAAGAUGAAGGCAAAAGGACCCGCCAUGUCCAUUUGUUUGGGGUGGGGGGAGCGAAGUCCCUCUCAAAGUAAACUUUGCACUAAUCAGUAAGCUGUCUAACCUGAAAGCAAAGCCAUUGUGACUUGCAAAUCUUUUGCAAAUUACCAAAUAACAAGCAGCAAGUACAAGUCGUCCACAAGGACAAACACAAGAAUGUGAGACCACAUCUGGCUGGUGGUGCCUGCUUAUCUUUGCCGAUAUGUGCAUUUUCAGUGAUUUUACACUAUUCUUACAUGAUCAUUUUAAACAGUUCUGCUUCUGGUUAAUACCGCAUUAUUUCUUACAGGCUACUUGUAAUCACUGUAAUCACACACUUGAAAAAUUAAUUGGAAAAAUAGUUAUUUCUGUACUGUACUUAUUUUGGAGAAAUAUGAUCUCAGGGAAGAACUAAAUGUGAAACACUUAUAUGCUUAGGACUACGUUAAAAAGCCAUAGCAUUUCAGUAUGUGGAAUCAAACUAUGGAAUGUAUUGAGUAAGGAAAUCAAACAAUGCACAACGAUGAGCCAAUUCAAGAAACAAUACAAGCAGUUGAUGUUUGCUAAAUACAAGGAUGAAGAGUCUUGAACCAGUCAUGAUGUGCUAUAUACAGUGAAGAAAAUAAGUAUUUGAACACCCUGCUAUUUUGCUAUUUCUCCCACUUAGAAAUCAUGGAGGGGUCUGAAAUUUUCAUCGUAGGUGCAUGUCCACUGUGAGAGAGAUAAACUAAAAAGAAAAAUCCAGAAAUCACAAUGCAUGAUUUUUUAACAAUUUAUUUGUGUGAUACAGCUGCAAAUAAGUAUUUGAACACCUGUGUAUCAUCUAGAAUUCUGACCCUGAAAGACCUGUUAGUCUGCCCAUUAGAAGUCCACCUGCACUCCAUGUAUCAUCCUGAAUCAGAUGCACCUGUUUGAGGUCGUUAGCUGCAUAAAGACACCUGUCCACCCCAUACAAUCAGUAAGACUUUAACUUGUAACAUGGCGAAGACCAAAGAGCUGUCCAAAGACACCAGAGACAAAAUUGUACACCUCCACAAGGCCGGAAAGGGCUACGGAGCAAUUACCAAGCAGCUUGGUGAAAAAAGGUCCACUGUUGGAGCUAUCAUUAGAAAAUGGAAGAAGCUAAACAUGACGGUCAAUCUCAAUCGGAGUGGAGCCCCAUGCAAGAUAUCACCUCGUGGGGUCUCAAUGAUUCUAAGAAAGGUGAGGAAUCAGCCCAGAACUACACGACAGGACUUGGUCAAUGACCUGAAAAGAGCUGGGACCACCGUUUCCAAGGUUACUGUAGGUAAUACACUAAGACGUCAUGAUGUGAAAUCAUGCAUGGCACGAAAGGUUCCCCUGCUUAAACCAGCACAUGUCAAGGCCCGUCUUAAGUUUGCAUAUGACCAUUUGGAUGAUACAGAGGAGUCAUGGGAGAAAGUUUUAUGGUCAGAUGAGACCAAAAUAGAACUUUUUGGUCAUAAUUCCAAUAAGCGUGUUUGGAGGAAGAAGAAUGAAGAGUACAAUCCGAAGAACACCAUCCCUACUGUGAAGCAUGGGGGUGGUAGCAUCAUGCUUUGGGGGUGUUUUUCUGCACAUGGGACAGGACGAGUGCACUGCAUUAAAGAGAGGAUGACUGGGGCCGUGUAUUGUGAGAUUUUGGGGAACAACCUCCUUCCCUCUGUCAGAGCAUUGAAGAUGGGUCGUGGCUGGGUCUUCCAACACGACAACGACCCGAAGCACACAGCCAGGAAAACCAAGGAGUGGCUCCGUAAGAAGCAUAUCAAGGUUCUAGCAUGGCCCAGCCAGUCUCCAGACCUGAACCCAAUCGAAAAUCUUUGGAGGGAGCUCAAACUCUGUGUUUCUCAGCGACAGCCCAGAAACCUGACUGAUCUAGAGAAGAUCUGUGUGGAGGAGUGGGCCAAGAUCCCUCCUGCAGUGUGUGCAAACCUGGUGAAAAACUACAGGAAACGUUUGACCUCUGUAAUAGCAAACAAAGGCUACUGUACCAAAUAUUAACAUUCAUUUUCUCAGGUGUUCAAAUACUUAUUAGCAGCUGUAUCACACAAAUAAAUUGUUAAAAAAAUCAUGCAUUGUGAUUUCUGGAUUUUUCUUUUUAGUUUAUCUCUCUCACAGUGGACAUGCACCUACGAUGAAAAUUU